rnacentral:rRNA from 2 species
UUGAAGGUUGGGUAACACUAACUGGAGGACCGAACCGACUAAUGUUGAAAAAUUAGCGGAUGACUUGUGGCUGGGGGUGAAAGGCCAAUCAAACCGGGAGAUAGCUGGUUCUCCCCGAAAGCUAUUUAGGUAGCGCCUCGUGAACUCAUCUUCGGGGGUAGAGCACUGUUUCGGCUAGGGGGUCAUCCCGACUUACCAACCCGAUGCAAACUACGAAUACCGAAGAAUGUUAUCACGGGAGACACACGGCGGGUGCUAACGUCCGUCGUGAAGAGGGAAACAACCCAGA